rnacentral:lncRNA from 1 species
AUUUGUUAUCAAGAAGGAAAAAACCCAUUUCCCCAAAUGCAGCAACAGCCCCGAUGAACGAUUUACACUCAAGCAUCUUACCGUCUGAAGUGUCGUGCUGUGUACCGAUCACAGUGAGGGGGAAAGCUGGAAUCAGAGAUCGCAUUGCAAGAUAUUGAAGACUUAUGGGGAAAGAAGCCCAUUUACAACCUCAGAAAUAGCAAUGUGAAGAAAAGAAAUUUAGAAUGUGUGGUUCUGGCAUUAACUGCCACAGCUGGGGUUAAAAAGCUGAACAAGGAUCAUCUAUUUCGAGAGACAAGAGAGUUCUAUAAUGAGAGACCGACUGCCAGCAAUUAUCCUUUAAGGUGUGGAGCAAAAUAUGUCAUUAAAGAUCCUCGUGCCAAAAAGGAUAGGGGAAAACAGCUGGCAAAAUGAGGUAAUGAGCAUAGUAGAACUUGUUUGGGAUAUGUUGUUACACUUACUAAUAUUUUAGUUUGAGGCUAUGUUAUACAAGCCAGCUAGGUUGUCUUUGCCGG